rnacentral:snRNA from 1 species
AUAAAUAUCUAAUUAAACCAACCA